rnacentral:rRNA from 1 species
GGAUGCGAUCAUACCAGCACUAAAGCACCGGAUCCCAUCAGAACUCCGAAGUUAAGCGUGCUUGGGCGAGAGUAGUACUAGGAUGGGUGACCUCCUGGGAAGUCCUCGUGUUACAUUCC